GCCUGGGUGGCUCAGUCGGUUGAGCGUCCGACUUCCACUGAGGUCAUGAUGUCGCAGUCUGUGGGUUCAAGCCCCGCGUCGGGCU
rnacentral:tRNA from 1 species